UACAGAGGUCUCGAGCGUUAGGCGGAAUCACUGGGCGUAAAGCGCACGUAGGCGGGCUCUUAAGUCGGUGGUGAAAUCCUGGAGCUCAACUCCAGAACUGCCUCCGAUACUGAGAGUCUUCGAGUCCGGGAGAGGUGAGUGGAACUGCGAGUGUAGAGGUGAAAUUCGUAGAUAUUCGCAAGAACACCAGUGGCGAAGGCGGCUCACUGGCCCGGUACUGACGCUGAGGUGCGAAAGCGUGGGGAGCAAACAGG
rnacentral:rRNA from 1 species